rnacentral:rRNA from 1 species
AAUGAACGUUGGCGGCAUGGAUUAGGCAUGCAAGUCGAGCGAGAAGAGUUUUGAAGCUUGCUUUAGAACUCGGACAGCGGCGAAAGGGAGAGUAACGCGUAGUUAUGUGCCCUAGGGUCCGGAAUAGCCACGGGAAACUGUGGGUAAUGCCGGAUAACAUCCCCGGAUCAAAGGUGUGAUUCCGCCCUAGGAGCAGACUGCGUCCUACUAGCUAGUUGGUGGGGUAAUGGCCCACCAAGGCAAUGAUGGGUAGCGGGUGUGAGAGCAUGACCCGUCUCACUGGGACUGAGACACUGCCCAGACACCUACGGGUGGCUGCAGUCGAGAAUCUUCGGCAAUGGGCGAAAGCCUGACCGAGCGAUGCCGCGUGCGGGAUGAAGGCCCUCGGGUUGUAAACCGCUGUCGUAGGGGAGGAAGGUUCCGUGAAGAGCGGAAUUUGACCUAUCCUAGGAGGAAGUACGGGCUAAGUUCGUGCCAGCCGCCGCGGUAACAC